rnacentral:rRNA from 1 species
AUUGAACGCUGGCGGCAUGCCUUACACAUGCAAGUCGAACGGCAGCGCGGGAGCAAUCCUGGCGGCGAGUGGCGAACGGGUGAGUAAUAUAUCGGAACGUGCCCAGUAGUGGGGGAUAGCCCGGCGAAAGCCGGAUUAAUACCGCAUACGACCUGAGGGUGAAAGCGGGGGAUCGCAAGACCUCGCGCUAUUGGAGCGGCCGAUAUCAGAUUAGCUAGUUGGUGGGGUAAAGGCCUACCAAGGCAACGAUCUGUAGUUGGUCUGAGAGGACGACCAGCCACACUGGGACUGAGACACGGCCCAGACUCCUACGGGAGGCAGCAGUGGGGAAUUUUGGACAAUGGGCGCAAGCCUGAUCCAGCAAUGCCGCGUGCAGG